GCACCUAGAAGCUUUUACAGCAUUAGCCUUUUAAGCUAAAGACAGAAGACCAACUUCCUUCGUG
rnacentral:tRNA from 1 species